UUGAAAUAAACCUGAUGAGUUGCUGCUGGUUUUUUUAACAUGUGCACACUUGUCAUCUUUAUAUCUCCACCUGUGCAUCUUUUGUAGACCUGGACAAGUUUCUUAAUGCUACUUAGCAUUGAGGUUUUGGGAUUGACUUUUGUCUUUCCUUACAUUUCUAGGUCUAUGUUUAUUCAUAUACCCUAUUGUAUGUUAUAGAAUGUAAUAAUUAGGCCUUUGUGCCUAUAACACUAUA
rnacentral:misc_RNA from 2 species